CUACGGGACGCAGCAGGUGCGGAACUUUUCCAAUGCGCGCAAGCGUGAGAGAGCAAUCUGAAGUGUUAAUCUUUUUAGAUUAACUUUUGUCUUGUGUAGAAAGCAAGACGAAUAAGGGCUGGGUAAGACCGGUGCCAGCCGCCGCGGUAAUACCGGCGGCCCAAGUGGCGCUCGAUUUUACUGGGUCUAAAACAUUCGUAGCCGGUUUUGUAAGUCUUAUGUUAAAUCAUUACUCUUAAGGUAAUGGCUGCAUAAGAUACUACUUGACUAGAGACUGGGAGACGUAAUGAGUACGAUCAAGGUAACGGUAAGAUGUUUUAAUCUUGAUUGGACUAAUAAUAGCGAGGGCAUGUUACGAGAACAGAUCUGACGGUGAGGAAUGAAGGCCAGGGGCGCAAAACGGAUUAGAUACCCCUGUAGUC
rnacentral:rRNA from 1 species